rnacentral:rRNA from 1 species
GAUGAACGCUGGCGGCGUGCCUAAUACAUGCCAGUCGAGCGAACAGACGAGGAGCUUGCUCCUUUGACGUUAGCGGCGGACGGGUGAGUAACACGUAGGUAACCUACCUAUAAGACUGGGAUAACUUCGGGAAACCGGAGCUAAUACCGGAUAAUAUUUCGAACCGCAUGGUUCGAUAGUGAAAGAUGGCUUUGCUAUCACUUAUAGAUGGACCUGCGCCGUAUUAGCUAGUUGGUAAGGUAACGGCUUACCAAGGCAACGAUACGUAGCCGACCUGAGAGGGUGAUCGGCCACACUGGAACUGAGACACGGUCCAGACUCCUACGGGAGGCAGCAGUAGGGAAUCUUCCGCAAUGGGCGAAAGCCUGACGGAGCAACGCCGCGUGAGUGAUGAAGGUCUUCGGAUCGUAAAACACUGUUAUUAGGGAAGAACAAACGUGUAAGUAACUGUGCACGUCUUGACGGUACCUAAUCAGAAAGCCACGGCUAACUACGUG